rnacentral:lncRNA from 1 species
GAAAAGAUUGUUAUAAUUCUGCUAAGCUUAUUAAGAAAGUUUCAAUGGAUCAACAACAGUGUAGAGUGGUUAGUAAUAGAAGUCUUUAUCUAUCUAAAAUUCAUUGGCUCAUUACCUAUCAUUGUGAGUGAGUCAAUGCAAAAUCCUCCACAUCAACUCAAUAAAAUAAAAUAAAAAAUUUUGCAUUAGUAAUUUUAACAAAUACAAUAUGGUGCCAUCAAUUAAUAUGUUGACAUAAAAUUAAAAAU